AUUGAACGCUGGCGGCAGGCCUAACACAUGCCAGUCGAACGGCAGCACGGUAAUCGCUCUCGCUUACGGGGGCGGACGGGUGGGUGAUUCAUGGGAACGUGCCCAGCUGUGGGGGCUAGCGGGACGAAAGAGGGAAUAAUACGCCAUACGAGCUGAGGGUGUAAGGGGGGGAGCGAAGGACCUUGCGCUCUUGGGGGGGCCGAUGUCGGAUUAGCUAGUUGGUGGGGUAAAGGCGUACCAAGGCGACGAUCCGUAGCUGGUCUGAGAGGAUGAUCAGCCACACUGGAACUGAGACACGGUCCAGACUCCUACGGGAGGCAGCAGUGGGGAAUAUUGGACAAUGGGGGCAAGCCUGAUCCAGCCAUGCCGCGUGCGUGAAGAAGGCCUUCGGGUUGUAAAGCGCUUUUGUUGGGGAAGAAAGGCAGUAGGUUAAUACCCCGCUGUUAUGACGGUACCCAAAGAAUAAGCACCGGCUAACUUCGUG
rnacentral:rRNA from 1 species